GACGAACGCUGGCGGCGUGCUUAACACAUGCAAGUCGAGCGGUAAGGCCCUUUCGGGGGUACACGAGCGGCGAACGGGUGAGUAACACGUGGGUGACCUGCCCUCAGCUCUGGGAUAAGCCCGGGAAACUGGGUCUAAUACUGGAUAUGACUCCACGGUGCAUGCCGUGGGGUGGAAAGCCUUGUGCGGCUGAGGAUGGGCCCGCGGCCUAUCAGCUUGUUGGUGGGGUGAUGGCCUACCAAGGCGACGACGGGUAGCCGGCCUGAGAGGGCGACCGGCCACACUGGGACUGAGACACGGCCCAGACUCCUACGGGAGGCAGCAGUGGGGAAUCUUGCGCAAUGGGCGAAAGCCUGACGCAGCGACGCCGCGUGAGGGAUGACGGCCUGGUGUAA
rnacentral:rRNA from 1 species